UACGGAGGGUGCAAGCGUUAAUCGGAAUUACUGGGCGUAAAGGGCGCGUAGGCGGUCUGUUAAGCCAGAUGUGAAAGCCCCGGGCUCAACCUGGGAAUUGCAUUUGGAACUGGCAGACUUGAGUGCAGGAGAGGAAGGUAGAACUCCCGGUGUAGCGGUGAAAUGCGUAGAGAUCGGGAAGAAUACCAGUGGCGAAGGCGGCCUUCUGGACUGACACUGACGCUGAGGCGCGAAAGCGUGGGUAGCAAACAGG
rnacentral:rRNA from 1 species